rnacentral:rRNA from 1 species
CGGGUGCGUAACGCGUAUAGAACCUACCUUUUACAGAGGAAUAGCCUUUAGAAAUGAAGAUUAAUGCCUCAUGGUAUUGUAGACUGGCAUCAGUUUAUAAUUAAAGAUUUAUCGGUAAAAGAUGGCUAUGCGUCCUAUUAGUUAGUUGGUAAGGUAACGGCUUACCAAGACAGCGAUAGGUAGGGGUCCUGAGAGGGAGAUCCCCCACACUGGUACUGAGACACGGACCAGACUCCUACGGGAGGCAGCAGUGAGGAAUAUUGGACAAUGGAGGAGACUCUGAUCCAGCCAUGCCGCGUGUAGGAAGAAUGCCCUAUGGGUUGUAAACUACUUUUAUACAGGAAGAAACACUGGUAUGUAUACCAGCUUGACGGUACUGUAAGAAUAAGGACCG